UACGGAGGAUCCGAGCGUUAUCCGGAUUUAUUGGGUUUAAAGUGUGCGCAGGCGGGAGAUUAAGUCGGCGGUGAAAUUUUGCAGCUCAACUGUAAAAGUGCCUUCGAAACUGGUUUCCUUGAGUGUAGAUGAAGUAGGCGGAAUUUGUGGUGUAGUGGUGAAAUGCAUAGAUAUCACGAGGAACUCCGAUUGCGCAGGCAGCUUACUAAACCAUAACUGACGCUCAGGCACGAAGGCGUGGGGAUCAAACAGGAUUAGAUACCCCCGUAGU
rnacentral:rRNA from 1 species